UCAGUUCGGAUCGAAGUCUGCAACCCGACUUCGUGAAGCUGGAUUCGCUAGUAAUCGCGCAUCAGCCACGGCGCGGUGAAUACGUUCCCGGGCCUUGUACACACCGCCCGUCAAGCCAUGGGAGCCGGGGGUACCUGAAGUGCGUAACCGCGAGGAUCGCCCUAGGGUAAAACUGGUGACUGGGGCUAAGUCGUAACAAGGUAAC
rnacentral:rRNA from 1 species